rnacentral:misc_RNA from 1 species
ACUACUCGAAGAGUAGUAAUGCAAGUAUGUGUCCUUUUAUUAGUUGUCUAAUGCAUUUCAUUUUCUUUGGCUUUUAUAUUUAGAUUUCUGGGAUUUGGAUAGGAAUGUGUGAAAUUUUACAAUUAUUUGCGACAGCUUCUUGGUAAGCUUAAACUCUAGGGACAAUGUGGAUUGUCUAAUGGCAGUGACACUUGCAUCUGGG